rnacentral:lncRNA from 1 species
UUUUUUUUUUUUUUUUUGAUCUUUUUAUGGCUGCACCCUUGGCACAUGGAGGUUCCCAGGGUAGGGGUCAAAUCAGAGCUGGAGAUGCCAGCCUACACCACAGCCCAUAGCAAUGCAAAUACGAGCUGCGUCUGUGACCUACACCACGGCUCACAGCAAUGUUGGAUCCUUAACCCACUGAGAGAGGCCAGGAUCAAACCCAAGUCCUCAUGGAUACUAGUCGGGUUUGUUAACCACUGAGCCAUGACAGGAACUCCUCUAAUCUCUCAUGUUAUCAGUUGAGCUGGGCUCCCCACGAACCAGCCAUAAGAGAUCCAAGUACAGCUGGAUUAUGGCACAUUUCAGUCCAAUUCCAUUUUCAUUUUAGAGAUCCCCAAAGACCAAAUAAUUCCUAGGUAAUUUUGGCUUAGUCCCAGGGUUUUUUUUUUUUUUAUUCCAACCUAAAAGUACAAAUGUUCAAUAAGUAGUAGUCAUAGGAAAUUUUAGUGCAAACACUCUAAAGUUUAGCAUGAAUUAACAUGUGACAGGUCUGGCCUUGCAAUUUUAUGUUCUAAGGUACUUGCAAAAUCACCACAGAGAUAAAACCCAGAGUCACUUUUGAAAAGGAUUCAGACUCACAGGCAACACAAACUAAAAACAAUCGACCUCAAAGAGAUUUCUCUUCUUUCCACUUAGGAGGAAUCAUUCAGAUCUUGUGUGGGAUUCAGUGCAUCAGUGUGUAGAAAGCACACAGUACAGGCAGGUAUGCAAUAUCUGGAUGAGUCAUUUAAGACCGAGCCCAUCAACAGCAAGGUCCUACUGUAGAGUGCCGGGGCCAGCUCAGCAGGAUGGGGCUGAAGAAAGGGUGCUGUGGAACUUAAGGAAAAAAAUUAACAUAAAACAAGACACAGAGACAUUUAUCUUAAGUAAAGGUGGAACCGCGAGGGACUCAAGGUCUCAGGGACCAAGAGCACUGCCUCAAGAAACCACACCACUUUUAUUGUGCUCUUAAAUGAGAUCAAGUGAGGAGGGGCUAUGGGUGGAUGACAUAGGGUUUGUUUACUAUUAUAUAAAAGUUCUUUUACUAUCUUAAAAGCCACUUAGCUGGUAAAGGUUAAGCUCUUACUCUGACCUCUAGGCACACGAUUGUUUUUCAAACAGGAAGAUGGGAUAAAGUAAAGAAGGACAAGAUGGAGUUUUCAAAGAACCAUGUCUUAUGACAGUAGAGCACAGGGAAUGAUAUUCAAUAUCCUGUGAAAAACCAUAAUGGAAAAGAAUAUGAAAAAAUAUGUCUGUGUAUAACUGAGUCACAUUGAUGUACAGCAGAAAUUAACACAGCAUUGUAAGUCAACUCUACUUCAGUGAAAAAAAAAAAAAAAAAAAGGAAAGACUAAGCCCCAAUACAGAUUGGGAAACUAUGGAGCAGAAAGGGUGUGCUCAGUGGAAACUCAAAGCUAAUUAGUGGCUGGGACUGGAUGUGACUUAGGUUCCCUAGACCCCAGUCCUGGGCUCUCUCUAUUUUACUGGCCCCCUACCUCCAUCAUCAAGCCAACAAUGGAUAUUUAUGCAACACUUGCCACAGGUAAGACACUGUUACUCAUCAAUGGUGAGGAGUGAUCUCUAGAUGUAAUCCCAGACUAUCCAGACAUAGAGAUUGUAUGUUCCAGCAAGGAUUUACCAUGUGCUGAGUUAGAGAUGCAGGACCCAGUGUGGGAGGGGUAAGUAUUUGGGAGCUCAUGGAGUGGGGAGGUGACAAGUGGGAGGACUCUGAGUUCUAAUUAGACAGACCUGGGUUCUAAUUCUGACUCUGUCACCCUGGCUGUAUGAUUCUAGUUACUUAGCUUCCCUGAUUCUUGAUUUCCUCACAAGAUGGCUGAGACAUUGUCUGUCAGGGGUAGGUGUUUUGUGACUGUCAGUCCUCUCUAAGCCUCAAGUGGGGACAUAGUCCAGCAGACCAGGAUGAAGUUCUAGGGGAUGGAAGAGCCAUCGUUUCCAAUAUGGCGGGUGAUGCUAUUUGUGCCCUGCAUGCCUCUGGGCUGGUAUUGAUAGGGAGGAAGGACAGAGUUUUGUAUGAUGCAUGGUUUUCAAAACCUGUGCUUGUUUGGGUCAUUUCCAGAACAUUCUGGAAACCGAAGCCUGGGAUGUUUGGAUCUCAGGAUCAAAUGAACUGUUUCUAACCACGCCAUGGCCUUCCUAUUGAAUGCCUUCUUUCUUUUCUUCAUUCCUCCCUCUCUUCCUUUCAGUGACUUUAGCUGAGCACCUCUUUUGUCUUAGGCCUGUCCUGGUUAAUGGGGGUCAUGAUGGAAUGAGACCCAAUACUGAGUGGGACACAGGUAAAGAAGCAGACACCUAUCAUGCACCCUGAGAGGUACUGGGUUUGAGGAAAUCCAUGACUCCAUGGAGCUUGUUGAGGCCAGAGGGAACUGGGGGAGGGGGUAGGCAUCUCAGAGGCUUCUGAGAAGAUGUGGGGCCCAGGCUGCAGCCCCAAGGGGGCAUCAUAAUACAGCCUCUCCAAGUCCCUCAAUUUAGCCGCCCCAUUUCUCUGACUCUUCAUCCUCAGGCCAAGUCUGGGAAGUAGCUCUCAGCCAAUUGCAUUACAGAGUCCCCAGCAAGCACUGGCAGGGGGCCUAGAGCAAAGGAAUAAACCUCACACCCGGCCUGACACCCAGCAGUUGGUUCUCUGGACUGGGAUUCUGCUUGGGGCAUUGGUUUCAUCUACAUUCUUCUGAAGUUGGGGCCGUUUUCUUCCUUCUCUCUAAAUCUUAUGUCAUACCUUGGAAAGCUCAGGGCCCCAUUGGUCCCCAAAGUCCCUUGGGUUAAGAGAUGCAGAGACUUGCAAGCUUGGCUGGGAGGGAGAGGGAGGAAGGGGAAUCUUGUGAGUUGCCUAUGUUUAUAGCCUUUUUUUUUUUAAACUUUAAAAAAUGAUUUAAGUGAAAUUAAUGUAACAUACAAUUAACCAUUUGAACUGUAUGAUUCAGUGGCAUUUAGUGCAGUCACAAUGCUGUAAACAUCCGUUCAGCAUCUCUAAACAUUUUAUCACCCCCAAAGAAUACUCUGUACCCAUUAAUUAACUACUCCUCAUUUUCCCCUCCCCCUUAGCAACAAGUCUCUUCUCCAUGUUUGUGACUCUGUUUCUGUUCUGUAGAUAGGUUCAUCUGUGCCUUAAUUAAUUAAUUAAUUAAUUAUUUAGGGCUGCCUCCAAGGCAUAUGGAAGUUCCCAGGCUACCGGUCAAAUUGGAACUGCAGCUGCUGGCCUAUGCCACAGCCUCAGCAAUGCCAGAUCUGAGCCUUGUCUAUGACUUAUGCUGCCUGGUUCAGAUGCUGUCCUCACUCUUAACUCUGUCACCUUAACCCACUGAGCGAGACCAGGGAUCGAACCUGAAUCCUCAUGGAUCUGAGUUGAACUCUUAACCCACUAAGCCACAAAGGGAACUCCUGUGCCAUAUUUUAGAUUCCACAUAUAAGCGAUAUCAUAUGUAUGUGUCUCUUUCUGACAUACUUCUCUUAGAAUCUCUAAUUGCAUCCACGUUGCUGUAAAUGACAUUAUUUUGGUCAUUUUUACAGCUGAGUAAUAUUCCAUUGCAUAUAUAUAUAUAUACCACACCUUCUUUAUCCGGUCAUCUGUCUACAGACAAUUAGGUUGUUUCCAAGUCUUGGCUAUUAUGAAUAGUGCUGCUUUGAACAUGGGGCAGCACAAAGUUUUCAUCCAUGUCAUAGCAGCUCUCAUUAUUUCAUUCCUUUUUAGGGCUGGAUACUAUUUCAUUGUAUGGAUAUACCACAAUUUACUUAUCUAUUCACCUGAUGGACAUUUAUGUUGCUUCCGUCUUUUGGCUAUUACGAACGGUGCUGCUGUGGACAUUCCAGUGUGUGGUUCUGUGUGGCUGUGUGUUGCCAUUUCUCUUGAAUAUACAUCCAUGCAUGGGAUCGCCAGGUCAGAUGGUAACUAUGUUUAACUUUUUCAGGUGUUUAUAGCCCUCUUCUGUGAUGACAGUCACUUAUGGUGUAUCUACCGCCUCCCCAGAACCUGGUGUCAUGUCACAGUGAAGAGUGUGACUCUUUUCAGGAGCUGCCUGGUUCAGAUGCUGUCCUCACUCUUGACUCUGUCACUCGUUUUCCUGAUUUGAGCCUUAUAGGAUAAUUGUACAGAUUGAAUGAAAAUGGGUGUAAAGGGCUUAAGCUGUAUGAAUUAUUCCAGAAAUGGCCACUACUUUAAAGUCCCUGCAGGGUGAGUUCCCAUUGUGGCUCAGCAGGUUAAGAAUCGGACACAGUUGUGAGGAUGUGGGUUGGAUCCCUGGCCUUGCUCAGUGGGUUAAAGAUCCAGAGUUGCCAUAAGCUGCAGCAUAGGUCAUAGAUGCACCUCGGAUCCUAUGGUCGUGGCUGUGACCUUCAGCUGCAGGUCUGAUUCAACCCUGAGCCUGAGAACUUCCGUAUGCUGCAGGUUCAGCAUAUAAAGAAAAGAGGAAAGAAAGUAAAAUCUCUGCAGGGUACUUCCCUGGUAGCCUAGAGGUUAAGAAUUCGGCAUCGUCACUGCUGUGGCUAGGAGCCGAUCUCUGGCCUGGGAACUUCCGCAUGCUGUGGGUGAGGCCAAAAAUUAAAUAAAAAAUAAUAAUAAUAAAGUUCCUGCCGGACUCCUCACGCGUAUAGUGAACGGUUAAUCUUUUCGGUUAUUCUUGAUGACUGUGGCUCACCUUGAGGAGUUGGACUUGUGGGGCUCUCAAGAGCUGGCGUUCCAGGGUAAAAGUGCACUGUAGGUUUGCGCAGGGAAGGGUACCUGGCUGGAUGGACUGAGGCGUGUGAAGCUGCGGAGCAAGAGCUGGUUUUCAAAAGUAGGUGGGGCCAGACUUUAGAGGCCCUUCAGACCUUACUCUCAGCAGGGCCCUGAACGCCAGCCAACCUCAGUCUCAGUCUGGUGUUCCAGAGAACAGGGUGAGAGGUUACAGAGACUGGGGCGAGUGUGACUAAGUGCGCAUGCGCCUGCCCGAACCUACGCGAACCCUCAGCGACUGCAGCUGUACUCGCGGUAUUUCAUGGUGUAGAAGCUUGACAGUUCAACUCGUUUUCACAAUUUGUGGGACAGAAGAGGUCUGUUUAAUGCAGAGUUCCUCAAACAGACCUAAAAAAUGUGCCUUUAACAACACAGUUGUCUACGUAAAGGCCACUACACAAGCAUGUUGCCAAGUCUUGGAAAAAUAACACAAAGGAGAGAAAAAAAGAGAUUGAGAGAGAGAAAAAAGACAUCCUAUUGUAAAGCAGGGCAGGCAUGAAAAAAAAAGAGUUUAAUUAGCAUAAGAGAAAAUAAUUGUUCUGAAUCUUAAAGAAGAUAAUUCAGGAGUGAAGUUACCUGCAUGGAAGGUAUUUUUAAAAACUCAGUUUUUAAUAAAGCCAAAUUUAUUCAACGUACAUGAUUACCCAGUGUCAUGAAAUUAAGACUCUCCAAAUGUGUAUAUAUGUAUUUAACAAUAUAUCAAAGUGUAUAUUUAAUGCAUAAUAAAUAUAUAAUCAUUUACAUAUAUACUUUACUAUUGUAAUAAUUAAAUGUUGUUUAAUAAAAUAAUACAUCUAUGUGCUUUAAAAAUGAAGCGAUGUGAU